GUGAGCAGGGUAACAGACUACAGACUAUAGAGGUGAGCAGGGUAACAGACUACAGAGUAUAGAGGUGAGCAGGGUAACAGACUACAGACUAUAGAGGUGAGCAGGGUAACAGACUACAGACUAUAGAGGUGAGCAGGGUAACAGAAUAUAGACUAUAGAGGUGAGUAGGGUAACAAACUAUAGAGGUGAGCAGGGUAGCAGACUAUAGAGGUGAGCAGGGUAGCAGACUAUAGAGGUGAGUAGGGUAACAGACUACAGACUAUAGAGGUGAGCAGGGUAACAGAAUAUAGACUAUAGAGGUGAGUAGGGUAGCAGACUAUAGAGGUGAGCAGGGUAGCAGACUAUAGAGGUGAGCAGGGUAACAGACUACAGACUAUAGAGGUGAGCAGGGUAACAGAAUAUAGACUAUAGAGGUGAGUAGGGUAACAAACUAUAGAGGUGAGCAGGGUAGCAGACUAUAGAGGUGAGCAGGGUAGCAGACUAUAGAGGUGAGCAGGGUAACAGACUACAGACUAUAGAGGUGAGCAGGGUAACAGAAUAUAGACUAUAGAGGUGAGUAGGGUAACAAACUAUAGAGGUGAGCAGGGUAGCAGACUAUAGAGGUGAGCAGGGUAGCAGACUAUAGAGGUGAGCAGGGUAGCAGACUAUAGAGGUGAGCAGGGUAACAGACUAUAGAGGUGAGCAGGGUAACAGACUAUAGAGGUGAGCAGGGUAACAGACUACAGAGUAUAGAGGUGAGCAGGGUAACAGACUACAGAGUAUAGAGGUGAGUAGGGUAACAGAAUACAGACUAUAGAGGUGAGCAGGGUAACAGACUAUAGAGGUGAGCAGGGUAACAGACUAUAGAGGUGAGCAGGGUAACAGACUAUAGAGGUGAGCAGGGUAACAGACUAUAGAGGUGAGCAGGGUAACAGACUAU